rnacentral:rRNA from 1 species
GAGUUUGAUCAUGGCUCAGGAUGAACGCUAGCGGCAGGCCUAACACAUGCAAGUCGAGGGGUAGUUACUUUCGGGUAAUGAGACCGGCGCACGGGUGCGUAACGCGUAUGCAAUCUACCUUUUACAGGGGAAUAGCCCAGAGAAAUUUGGAUUAAUGCCCCAUGGUAUUAUGACUUGGCAUCAAGAUGUAAUUAAAGUUCCAACGGUAAAAGAUGAGCAUGCGUCCCAUUAGUUAGUUGGUAAGGUAACGGCUUACCAAGACGAUGAUGGGUAGGGGUCCUGAGAGGGAGAUCCCCCACACUGGUACUGAGACACGGACCAGACUCCUACGGGAGGCAGCAGUGAGGAAUAUUGGACAAUGGGCGCAAGCCUGAUCCAGCCAUGCCGCGUGCAGGAAGACGGUCCUAUGGAUUGUAAACUGCUUUUGUACAGGAAGAAACACUCCCUCGUGAGGGAGCUUGACGGUACUGUAAGAAUAAGGAUCGGCUAACUCCGUGCCAGCAGCCGCGGUAAUACGGAGGAUCCAAGCGUUAUCCGGAAUCAUUGGGUUUAAAGGGUCCGUAGGCGGUUUAAUAAGUCAGUGGUGAAAUCUGGUCGCUCAACGAUCAAACGGCCAUUGAUACUGUUAGACUUGAAUUAUUUGGAAGUAACUAGAAUAUGUAGUGUAGCGGUGAAAUGCUUAGAUAUUACAUGGAAUACCAAUUGCGAAGGCAGGUUACUACAAGUGGAUUGACGCUGAUGGACGAAAGCGUGGGGAGCGAACAGGAUUAGAUACCCUGGUAGUCCACGCCGUAAACGAUGGAUACUAGCUGUUCGGAGCAAUCUGAGUGGCUAAGCGAAAGUGAUAAGUAUCCCACCUGGGGAGUACGUUCGCAAGAAUGAAACUCAAAGGAAUUGACGGGGGCCCGCACAAGCGGUGGAGCAUGUG